CCUACGGGUGGCAGCAGUGGGGAAUAUUGCACAAUGGGGGAAACCCUGAUGCAGCGACGCCGCGUGAGUGAAGAAGUAAUUCGUUACGUAAAGCUCUAUCAGCAGGGAAGAAACACUGACCUUACGGUCAGCAGACGGUACCUGAGUAAGAAGCCCCGGCUAACUACGUGCCAGCAGCCGCGGUAAUACGUAGGGGGCACGCGUUAUCCGGAUUUACUGGGUGUAAAGGGGGCGUAGACGGGGCGCCAAGUCUGGAGUGAAAUGCCGCAGCUUAACUGCGGAACUGCUUUGGAAACUGGCGAACUAGAGUGCGGGAGAGGUAAGCGGAAUUCCUAGUGUAGCGGUGAAAUGCGUAGAUAUUAGGAGGAACACCGGUGGCGAAGGUGGCUUACUGGACCGUAACUGACGUUGAGGCUCGAAAGCGUGGGGAGCAAACGGGAUUAGAUACCCUAGUAGUC
rnacentral:rRNA from 1 species